rnacentral:misc_RNA from 1 species
CUGUUCUAAGAUCCUCAUGAGGAUUGAUUAUUUUUCGUAGUUUCUUACCAGCAGCUGUAUUGGAAUGCACGUAAAUGCUAUGGAGCUGAUUGAUCAGCUAGAAGGCCACAUAGUGGUGGAUUUGGAGGAAGUUCAUUUUCUGGUGAUAUGGAUGUUGAUCUGGCUCUCAGAGCUAUCGUCUUUCCUACUAGGGCCCGUUAUGAUACAUGGCAUUCAUAUAAUGAUCUGAACAAGCGGCAA